rnacentral:rRNA from 1 species
GCAGGCUCGCGCUUGAAUACAUUAGCAUGGAAUAAUGAAAUAGGACGUUCGAUUCUAUUUUGUUGGUUUCUAGGAUCGACGUAAUGAUUAAUAGGGAUAGUUGGGGGCAUUAGUAUUCAAUUGUCAGAGGUGAAAUUCUUGGAUUUAUUGAAGACUAACUACUGCGAAAGCAUUUGCCAAGGAUGUUUUCAUUAAUCAAGAACGAAAGUUAGGGGAUCGAAGACGAUCAGAUACCGUCGUAGUCUUAACCAUAAACUAUGCCGACUAGGGAUCGGAUGAUGUUAAUUUUUUAAUGACUCAUUCGGCGCCUUACGGGAAACCAAAGUGUUUGGGUUCCGGGGGGAGUAUGGUCGCAAGGCUGAAACUUAAAGGAAUUGACGGAAGGGCACCACCAGGGGUGGAGCCUGCG